UGCUGUGGAUUAGGCUUUGGCUUAAGGGAAUGUUGUGGCCUGUUUGAUCUUCUAUCCAGACCACUAAAAUUUUCUCCAUAUCAGC
rnacentral:pre_miRNA from 1 species